CUGAAUCAAAAAAGUAUAAAAACAUCUUUUAUAAUUUAAAAAGAUAGUUCCAUUUUAUAAAGAUCAAGGAUCACAUAAACUAGGUGAUAGAGCAGGAGCACUGUCAUCUCGGACAAACACCGCCACUUUAAAUUCCGUCUCCCAUUCUAGCCUCAUGCAUUUCAAGGAAACCUCUUCUAACUACAGAAAGAGCAGCCAGAAAGAGCAGACAGGAAAACACAGACAAGACAGCUCGCUCUUUCCCAUCUUGCAAGAUGGCGGGUGAAAAAGUUGAGAAGCCAGAUACUAAAGAGAAGAAACCCGAAGCCAAGAAGGCUGAUGCUGGUGGCAAGGUGAAAAAGGGUAACCUCAAGGCUAAAAAGCCCAAGAAGGGGAAGCCCCAUUGCAGCCGCAACCCUGUUCUUGUCAGAGGAAUUGGCAGGUAUUCCUGAUCUGCCAUGUAUUCCAGAAAGGCCAUGUACAAGAGGACGUACUCAGCCACUAAAUCCAACGUUGAAAAUAAAAAGAAGGAGAAGGUUCUUGCAACUGUUACAAAACCAGUUGGUGGUGACAAGAACGGCGGUACCCAGGUGGUUAAACUUCGCAAAAUGCCUAGAUAUUAUCCUACUGAAGAUGUGCCUUGAAAGCUGUUGAGCCACCGCAAAAAACCCUUCAGUCAUCACGUGAGAAAACUGCGAGCCAGCAUCAUCCCCAGGACCAUUCUGAUCAUCGUCACUGGACGCCACAGGGGCAAGAGGGUGGUUUUCCUGAAGCAGCUGGCUAGUGGCUUGUUACUUGUGACUGGACCUCUGGUCCUCAAUCGAGUUCCUCUACGAAGAACACACCAGAAAUUUGUCAUUGCCACCUCAACCAAAAUCAAUAUCAGCAAUGUAAAAAUCCCAAAACAUCUUACUGAUGCUUACUUCAAGAAGAAGCUGCCAAAGCCCAGACACCAGGCAGGUGAGAUCUUCGACACAGAAAAAGAGAAAUAUGAGAUUACGGAGCAGCGUAAAGAUUGAUCAGAAAGCUGUGGACUCACAAAUUUUACCCAAAAUCAAAGCUAUUCCUCAGCUCCAGGGCUACCUGUGAUCUGUGUUUGCCCUGACGAAUGGAAUUUAUCCUCACAAGUUGGUGUUCUAA